rnacentral:rRNA from 1 species
AUUGAACGCUGGCGGCAUGCCUUACACAUGCAAGUCGAACGGCAGCACGGGAGCAAUCCUGGUGGCGAGUGGCGAACGGGUGAGUAAUAUAUCGGAACGUGCCCAGUCGUGGGGGAUAACGUAGCGAAAGCUACGCUAAUACCGCAUACGAUCUAUGGAUGAAAGCGGGGGAUCGCAAGACCUCGCGCGAUUGGGAGCGGCCGAUAUCAGAUUAGGUAGUUGGUGAGGUAAAGGCUCACCAAGCCGACGAUCUGUAGCUGGUCUGAGAGGACGACCAGCCACACUGGGACUGAGACACGGCCCAGACUCCUACGGGAGGCAGCAGUGGGGAAUUUUUGGACAAUGGGCGCAAGCCUGAU